AUUGAACGCUGGCGGCAGGCCUAACACAUGCAAGUCGAGCGAGCGGCGGACGGGUGAGUAAUGUCUGGGAAACUGCCCGAUGGAGGGGGAUAACUACUGGAAACGGUAGCUAAUACCGCAUACUAUCAGAUGAGCCCAGAUGGGAUUAGCUAGUAGGUGGGGUAAUGGCUCACCUAGGCGACGAUCCCUAGCUGGUCUGAGAGGAUGACCAGCCACACUGGGACUGAGACACGGCCCAGACUCCUACGGGAGGCAGCAGUGGGGAAUAUUGCACAAUGGGCGCAAGCCUGAUGCAGCCAUGCCGCGUGUAUGAAGAAGGCCUUAGGGUUGUAAAGUACUUUCAGCGGGGAGGCGUUACCCGCAGAAGAAGCACCGGCUAACUCCGUGCCAGCAGCCGCGGUAAUUC
rnacentral:rRNA from 1 species